rnacentral:rRNA from 1 species
GACGAACGCUGGCGGCGUGCCUAAUACAUGCAAGUCGAACGCAUUUUCUUUCACCGUAGCUUGCUACACCGAAAGAAAAUGAGUGGCGAACGGGUGAGUAACACGUGGGUAACCUGCCCAUCAGCGGGGGAUAACACUUGGAAACAGGUGCUAAUACCGCAUAAUUCCAUUUACCGCAUGGUAGAUGGGUGAAAGGCGCUUUUGCGUCACUGAUGGAUGGACCCGCGGUGCAUUAGCUAGUUGGUGGGGUAACGGCCUACCAAGGCUGCGAUGCAUAGCCGACCUGAGGGGGUGAUCGGCCACACUGGGACUGAGACACGGCCCAGACUCCUACGGGAGGCAGCAGUAGGGAAUCUUCGGCAAUGGACGCAAGUCUGACCGAGCAACGCCGCGUGAGUGAAGAAGGUUUUCGGAUCGUAAAACUCUGUUGUUAGAGAAGAACAAGGAUGAGAGUGGAAAGUUCAUCCCUUGACGGUAUCUAACCAGAAAGCCACGGCUAACUACGUG